GAAUAGAGAGAAAAUCGGCCAAGAGAGAGUAAUAUUAACUCUCCAAAUUUCAUCCCCAAAAAUUAUAAUUUUCUAGUAUUCCUACUAAGUCAAGGGUGCUCUACAACAUGGUGUAGUUGUUUUGGAAGUUUGGAGACUUGUUUCAUUGAUUUGGAAGUGAAGAAGUUAGAAGAAAAAGAUUUUGGAGGAAACGGGAAUUGAAUUUGGACAACCGUAAAACGUCAAAAAGUUUCUCACUACUCCACUCGUGGAUGCCUCAAUGCUUCUUUCACUGAGCUUGGGCCAGGAUAUGUUUUCGUGCGUAUUUCUCUGUAUUGUUCGCCGUGUCCCGACGUGA